GGGAAGGUGGCUCAGUGAUAGAGUGCUUGCCUUGCAUGCAUGAGGCCCUGGGUUCGAUUCCCCAAUACCA
rnacentral:tRNA from 1 species